UGUUUGUUUAUGUUUUUUAAUUUAACACUUUUUUUCCUAUUAAGACAUUAGGUCCAUGAGAGCAAGGACCAUGUUUGUUUAGUUUACUGCUAUAUUCUCAGUGCCUCUCACCUUGCCUGUCAACAUAAAAGUACUUCUUGAAAGUGGCAGGCAGUAUUUUAUUUUAAACUAUGUAUUUGUUUUGUUUCUAUCUUAGAGCCAUGAAAUGACAAGCACUGGACUGCUACUUGGUGUUUCUGCUGUAAAACUAGGCACCAUGGAUAUGUCUAUUACUCGGCUUCCUAGCAUUCACAUUCCUGCUCUCUUACCCGCAACGUCCACAGAGCUGGAUGUUCCUCACAAUGUCCAAGUGGCUGCAGUGGUUGGCAUUGGCCUUGUAUAUCAAGGGACAGCUCACAGACAUACUGCAGAAGUCCUGUUGGCUGAGAUAGGAUGGCCUCCUGGUCCUGAAAUGGAAUACUGCACUGACAGAAAGUCAUACUCCUUAGCUGCUGGCUUGGCCCUGGGCAUGGUCUGCUUGGGGCAUGGCAGCAAUUUGAUAGGUAUGUCUGAUCUCAAUGUGCCUGAGCAGCUCUAUCAGUACAUGGUUGGAGGACAUAGGCGCUUUCAAACAGGAAUGCAUAGGGAGAAACAUAAAUCACCAAAUUAUCAAAUCAAAGAAGGAGAUACCAUAAAUGUGGAUGUGACUUGUCCAGGUGCUACUCUAGCUUUGGCUAUGAUCUACUUAAAAACCAAUAACAGUGUCUCUAGGAAGCCCAGACACAUGGAGAAGUUCUGAGUGUUUUGGCCGAUAGUCCCAGAUGAGGUUCCAGCAACAGCUGGGAUCACCCAUGAGAUGUGAGUGAGGAAGGCUUUGAGAUGGUUUCAGCCCUAGCCACCACUGACCUCAUGAGAGACCACAAGAAAGAGAAUCACCUGGCCAAGCCCAGCAGACCUUCAGAAUUCAGAAAUAAAAUAAUUCGUCUUAUUUUAAGCCACUGUGUUUUGGUUUGAUUCAUCCCAUAGCAAAAGACAACUUCAACAGGCCCUUUCUGAGGCUCUGGAGGGGCCCUGGCAAUGUAUCCAUUUGGUCAUUUGCUUUUGACAAAAGCAGACAUUUUAGCUGUAAUUGGCUAAAAUUCUGAUCUCUUUCUGCC
rnacentral:lncRNA from 1 species